rnacentral:lncRNA from 10 species
UACAUACUUUCCCUUUAACCCCAGAGUUAUUUUUUAAAACUACAUAAUUGCUGUUUUUGUGUAUUAUCUAUAUGGAUCUUUAACAAAACAUGAUUGUUUACAUACUUUCCCUAUAACCCCAGAGUUGGCUUUUAAAACUACAUGAUUGCUGUUUUUGUGUAUUAUCUCAGUGCUCUAAAAUUAUCCUAGCCUACACGCGGGCAUGGGUUAAAGCCCCUUACACAAAUACGGCCAUUUCUCUGGGCCAGGAGCCAGCUGUUCCCAAAAUGGCCACGAUGCCUCAGGAGGGAGGUUGACACCCUGUGCUCUCAGAAGCAGCUCAGAGCUCAGAGGCAGACCUCUACUCAUGCAAUUCUGCCUUCUGUGCAUGCAAUGGAUUGCUGCCAUCUCCAAUCAGCCACAAUGGGAGGCCACCUGCUAGACAUGGAAGAGCCACCGGAUGGAAGAAGCCUGGGUCUCUGAAAUACUGCUUGGAGUAGACUACUCUGCCUGCAAACUAGGAGCACUGAUUUUGGACUUUUUGGGAGAUCUGCUGUGAUUAUUCCUUUUCACAAACCACAAUGACUCUGGAAAACCUGGCUGUAAACACCAGCACUGCCACCAGCUAAGGAUCUGUGAUCAGGAGUGCCAUCUCACGGUAACAGGCAGAAGACAAAAGUGAAACCGGGCUGAUGCGAAUCACUGGGAAACUGGCUUUGGCACCUCCAGAGAAUGAACUGUUUCAUAGCCUAGCUGACCAUCCAUGAAAAUGGCUGCCUGGAGAGGCAGUGAUCAGCCCAUCCCUGCAGGGUGAAGAUAAGCUUGUGCAGGCCACUGGCUAACACAGUUCAUCCCAUGCCUCCUACAUACCAAGCACUGUGCCAGGCACUUUUCACGUCUGGCAUCCUCAGAAUCCUCCAAAAGGUCGGAUUCAGACAAUCCGGUGGAGCACUCUGAAAUUUAGAGGAAGUGGUCAAAUAGAAUUUUCUGGAAUUAUGGAAAUCUUCUAUUCUGUGCAUCUAGUAUAGUAGAAUCUAGUCACAUGUGGCUUUUGAGAACUGGAAAUAUGGCUAAUGCAACAGAGAAAGUGAAUUUUUACUUUUGAUUCAUUUAAAUAUAAAUGGUCACAUAUGACAUCACUGCCAUAUUGGACAUUGCAGUUCUGGAAGAUGGCAGAUGCAGCCCUCAGAAGAAUUAUCAGCCUGAAUGUCUGGGCGGAGCAGAGCACUACCUUCCCACUCACUCUUCCCCUCCUCUCGCCCCCUCCCCUGCCUCACUUGCAUCAGAUUAUGAUGUGAGCAAAAGCAGGAAACAGCUCUUUUGAUAGGCCUGUGAGACUUGCUGUUCGUUGGAGUAGCUAGGCUGCUCUGACUCAUACAGACCCAAAUCCUGGCAACCACUUUUAUGAAGAAAUGACAAUUCAGUCUACUACUUGUCCAUUUUACAUGCCCAAGGAAUGUGAGGGGCCUCUGCUUGGAUCUAGUUUUCAACCUAGUCUAUGGCAUUGAUUAUCCUUUUAAAAGACAAAAGAGGUGACUUCACGGGCACUUAACAUCUUGGCCAUACUGACCCCAGUUGCACGCUACGUAGGAAGUUUUAGUCCAUUUAAACUGAAGUUCCAAUUUUUUUUUUAACAACUAUUUAAAAAUUGUACAUGUCCCAUACAUGACAGAGAAAGGGUUGUCUGGUUGGAUGAUUUUUGGCUUGCAAAAAGAGAACACAAAAGAAAAGCAUACGUUUUAAUACUCAAGAGACCAAAUUUUCUGCUGAAGAGGAAAUGAACUACAUAUCCAGAAGGGUCCUACCAAGAGGCCAAACAGACUGUGUUCUCUUGGGGGAGUUCUCAGUGGUGAUGAGAACACCACUUUUUUUUUUUUUUUAGUCAUUUUCAAGGUGAGAUAUUGACUUGCUGCUGGAGCAGGACAACUGGUCUCUCUUUCAUUGCUAGCAGCAGAGUAAGGGUCUUGCAAGUUUCAGGCAGCAGCAGAGAAAGGGUCUUGCAAGUUUCAGUCCAAAGCAAGAAGAGCUAGGAUUGCACCAGCUGUCUCACCUACUCUGUGCUCACCUGUUUCUGGAUGAAGCACGGUGACAUCUGUUUUAUUGUAAAGAGAACCAACUUUGGAAUCAAAUGGAACCUGUAUUAAAAUCCUGAAUCCGUCACUAGCUUGGACAAGUCACUUCACUUCUCUGAACCUUGUUUUAUUCCAGUUAAGAAUAAUAGUAAGCCAGUCCCACAGAGCUGUAGCAAGGUUAAAAUGAAUGGUUGUCUGUAGAAGCAUUUAAAAUAGGGCUUCAUACAGAGCCAGUACCUGGGGAGACUGAGGGUUUGAACCACAUAGUUCCACUCUGGCAAAUCACAGAGGGGCUGUAGGAUGGUCCUUUAAGGGGGAUGUGUUAUGGGUUAAUUGGAACAGUGCUUCUUAAACUCCAGUGUGCAUUCAUAUUGCUUAGGGGUUUUGUUUAAAUGCAGAUUCUGAGUUACUAGGAUUAUGCAAUUUGAAUGAGCUUGCAGAUAAUUUCAUGGCUGCUGGUCUCUGACAUCACCUUUGAGAAGCAAAGAAUUAAAGGUCCUGUCCUGAUCUGUCUCCUUCUCCUGUUAUCUGUGCAAAAGAGAUAUACUGUCUACUUUGCAUAGUGAGAUGGCAGGUACAAAAGUAGGAUGAGGAUAAUGUAGCAUGAGCACAGAGAAGGAAAACCUAGGAGGAUGAGUAAAGAAAUCAUGGGAAAAGAGAUAGAUUCAAGGCUUUCAAUCCUGACUAGACUUUAAAUUCACCUGGAGAGCUUUAAAAAAACUAGCCAUUGUCUGGUCCCAGGAAUACUGAUUUAAUUGAUUAGGAUGGGACCAGACAUGACAUGUUAAAGAAAAUAACUCCCCAGAUUAUUCUAGUGUGUAGCCAGGGUUAAGAACUGCUGGGCUAGACAAAUGAGACAACUUUCCCAGAUGGAAAGAAUCAGGAAGGGGCCUUAUCAAGAUAUUAUGUCAGGUUUGGUUUUCAGGGGGCUGAUAGGAAAGAAAAAGAAAUGCUUCAUGGAAAUUGCAGGUAAGACAGGCCAAUUGGUUGAAACCUUGACAAAUCAGACCAUUUGAUCAAAUUGUUCCCAAAAUAUGAAAACUCUGUCUCAACCGAAAUAAUCACUUAGCUCUGGGACUCUAAAGCAACCUGUUUGUCUGUUGGGAAGCUAGGGUAAAUGUGAGAAGUGAAAUCCAUGCCAUUUUUUGGAACUGGAGACUUUUUAAUAAUUUCAUUAACAUUGUCAGUUUGGUUGUCCUCUGUGAUCAGAAGCUGUCGAAUGAUGUUCAUUUGAGUACAGAAGCCAGCCCUUUCUGUAGCAUUAACCAGGCCUCAGUCCAGUGGAUCUCUACAGGGUGCCACGAGCCCAGCACAAGUGCUCCAACACAUUCUGACCAAUGAGCAUAAUUAAUUUGUUGUAAUUGACUUUACACUCUUGAAGCCCAGGUGUAGACUUCCUUCUUGUUACCAGAAGCCAGCUCAGACAUGGCCCUUUGCCAGCCUCAACACAAAGCUCAGCUCUCUUCCAGGGUUCCCUAAGAUCUAGGCACGUCAAGCAUCUGAAAAUAAUAUGGUUUUACAGAAGAUUCCUUACAUCCUGCGGUGGGGCCAGCUCAGGCACUGAACAACGUUUUGUUUGAGCAAUCCCCAUUGGACACAUCUCUCCCCCGAAUCCCUGUCUGCACAGCCAAUAAGGUGAUUCUCCUCUGUCACCCUCCUUAGCCCUUGCCCAUUCUUUUAUUCCUUUACAAGACAGCUGGGUUUAGCCCUGUCCUAAGUGCUCCACACUCGGCUGCCUGCACCCAGGCAUAGCAAACACAAAGCCCUUCGGAACCCCAGGCCCACCCUCUUUAGAUACAUGUUAUAAACUGUUACUGUUGAUGAGGUCAUUCCAGUGGGUGUCAAGCUGGGCACAGCUUCUGGUAAGAAGAAGAAAGCAUAGCAGAUUCACAUCUCAGCCAAAGAACCUGGCUGUGAAAAGCCUUUGCCUAAAAGGUCAUGCAGUCCACAGUUCUGCCACACAACUGCAGCCUGGAAUCACAUGGGGAGUUCUUAAAAUGCUGAUGGCUGGGCUGUACCCCUGAAAUUCUGAUUUAAUUGGCCUGGGGUGUGGCCUGGGCAUUAGAGUUUUGUUAAAGUUCCCAAGUCAUUCCUGCCAUGCUGCCAAAUUUGAGAGACGUUGUUCUAAAGAGGCUUAGCGAUAAAGGCCAAGUGAAAAGGACAACCAGUCCUACGUUAUAGUUGCAAUUGCUUUGUCCUUAUUACUGACCUGUUUGGUCUUGUUUUGAGUCUUUUAAUCCCUUCAACUGAACUCUCCAAAAUUCUACUAUUGGACAGUAUAGCACAGAAAGUUUGGG